rnacentral:rRNA from 1 species
UACGUAGGGUGCAAGCGUUGUCCGGAAUUAUUGGGCGUAAAGAGCUCGUAGGCGGUUUGUCACGUCGGAUGUGAAACCCUGAGGCUCAACCUCAGGCCUGCAUUCGAUACGGGCAGACUAGAAUUCGGCAGGGGAGACUGGAAUUCCUGGUGUAGCGGUGAAAUGCGCAGAUAUCAGGAGGAACACCGAUUGCGAAGGCAGCUCGCUGGGACGUUACUGACGCUGAGACGCGAAAGCGUGGGGAGCAAACAGG